UGCAACCGCAACCGCAUCCACGACCGCAACCGCAAUUUAAAACCUUGCCCGGUACUGGUACUUUUUUAAAAUAGUCGUACCAGUGCUUCACAGAUGAUUCACCUAUGGGUAGUAGAUUCUAUAUUCAUUACAAAUUGUGAAUGAAAAUGAACAUAAAUGCUCCUGGGUUCUAUGUAUUUGUUCCUAUUUACUCUAGUCUUUAGAACAUUGAUAGAANNNNNNNNNNNNNNNNUCCUAUUUUCUAUUCUAACAGUUAUUGUGUUUGGGGGGUGGGAGUCAGAAGUUCAGCCAUGGAGUGGAGUUUGUUCUUUUGUUAUCAUUUAAUGCGGGUGCCUUAGAUAACCAACUGGAACAUGCAUUGGUGUCUCUAGCAACGGUGAUGCUAGAAUCUCCUUCCUUGAUUGUACAAUGUACACAAGGUAUGUUUUCAGUUUGACUAACACUUAUUCAGAUGUUGCCUUGUUAGCCAUUUUGUUACUGGAUCUUUUAGCAUAAUCAGUUGUCAUAUAAUUCUAGUUUAUAUCAGAAUAAUCAGUUGUCAUAUUUUCCUAAUACUAUAUGUUUGAACUUUUAAGCUUAAGUAAAAUGAAUUUCUGUCCUACCAUAAUAUGUUCAAUAUCAAAGACCUUUAGGGGGGUCUUUCCUCAAAUGGCACGAACCGAGACAUGUGAUGAUAUUCUUCAACAGGUCAUUUUUCUAUUUGGUUAUACCGGGUUAGUGUAUAACUAUUUGAUUUGGUGACUGUUUUGAUUUAUUUCUCAUUUAGUUUCAUUUGGAUUUGUGGGUUUCGUGCAGGUUGAUGACCCUCGACUUAUUCAACGAAUUUCAGUUGCAGCAUCAGGCAGGCGGUAGCUACAAAGACUAAGACGCCUCAUGAUGCAUGUGAUAGACUGGUGUGGUUUUGCUACCUAUUCUCUUUAUCUCAGUUUUCCUUUUCUUGUUUUUCUUUUGUUUUGCCUGGAAUGAUUGUGAAAGUUACUGUGGGUAAUGGUUGCCCUUUGAAUGUACUCUCUUGUUACUUUAAUAAUUGGCCAAAUU
rnacentral:lncRNA from 1 species